GGAGGGUGCAAGCGUUAUUCGGAUUUAUUGGGCGUAAAGAGUGUGUAGGCGGCCGGCCAAGCCAGAUGUGAAAGCCCAGGGCUUAACCCUGGAAGGGCAUUUGGAACUGGUUGGCUUGAGUUCGGGAGAGGGAAGUGGAAUUCCGGGUAUAGAGGUGAAAUUCGUAGAUAUCCGGAGGAACACCGGUGGCGAAGGCGACUUCCUGGACCGAAACUGACGCUGAGACACAAAAGCGUGGGGAGCAAACAGGAUUAGAUACCCUGGUAGUCCACGCUGUAAACGAUGGGCGCUAGGUGUGGGGGGUUUUUAAUCCCUCCGUGCCGCAGCUAACGCAUUAAGCGCCCCGCCUGGGGAGUACGGCCGCAAGGUUA
rnacentral:rRNA from 1 species